rnacentral:rRNA from 1 species
AGGACGAACGCUGGCGGCGUGCUUAACACAUGCAAGUCGAACGGAAAGGCCCUGCUUUUGUGGGGUGCUCGAGUGGCGAACGGGUGAGUAACACGUGAGUAACCUGCCCUUGACUUUGGGAUAACUUCAGGAAACUGGGGCUAAUACCGGAUAGGAGCUCCUGCUGCAUGGUGGGGGUUGGAAAGUUUCGGCGGUUGGGGAUGGACUCGCGGCUUAUCAGCUUGUUGGUGGGGUAGUGGCUUACCAAGGCUUUGACGGGUAGCCGGCCUGAGAGGGUGACCGGCCACAUUGGGACUGAGAUACGGCCCAGACUCCUACGGGAGGCAGCAGUGGGGAAUAUUGCACAAUGGGCGGAAGCCUGAUGCAGCAACGCCGCGUGCGGGAUGACGGCCUUCGGGUUGUAAACCGCUUUCGCCUGUGACGAAGCGUGAGUGACGGUAAUGGGUAAAGAAGCACCGGCUAACUACGUGCCAGCAGCCGCGGUGAUACGUAGGGUGCGAGCGUUGUCCGGAUUUAUUGGGCGUAAAGGGCUCGUAGGUGGUUGAUCGCGUCGGAAGUGUAAUCUUGGGGCUUAACCCUGAGCGUGCUUUCGAUACGGGUUGACUUGAGGAAGGUAGGGGAGAAUGGAAUUCCUGGUGGAGCGGUGGAAUGCGCAGAUAUCAGGAGGAACACCAGUGGCGAAGGCGGUUCUCUGGGCCUUUCCUGACGCUGAGGAGCGAAAGCGUGGGGAGCGAACAGGCUUAGAUACCCUGGUAGUCCACGCUGUAAACGGUGGGUACUAGGUGUGGGGUCCAUUCCACGGGUUCCGUGCCGUAGCUAACGCUUUAAGUACCCCGCCUGGGGAGUACGGCCGCAAGGCUAAAACUCAAAGGAAUUGACGGGGCCCUGCACAAGCGGCGGAGCAUGCGGAUUAAUUCGAUGCAACGCGUAGAACCUUACCUGGGUUUGACAUGGAUCGGGAGUGCUCAGAGAUGGGUGUGCCUCUUUUGGGGUCGGUUCACAGGUGGUGCAUGGCUGUCGUCAGCUCGUGUCGUGAGAUGUUGGGUUAAGUCCCGCAACGAGCGCAACCCUUGUUCACUGUUGCCAGCACGUUAUGGUGGGGACUCAGUGGAGACCGCCGGGGUCAACUCGGAGGAAGGUGGGGAUGACGUCAAGUCAUCAUGCCCCUUAUGUCCAGGGCUUCACGCAUGCUACAAUGGCUGGUACAGAGAGUGGCGAGCCUGUGAGGGUGAGCGAAUCUCGGAAAGCCGGUCUCAGUUCGGAUUGGGGUCUGCAACUCGACCUCAUGAAGUCGGAGUCGCUAGUAAUCGCAGAUCAGCAACGCUGCGGUGAAUACGUUCCCGGGGCUUGUACACACCGCCCGUCAAGUCAUGAAAGUUGGUAACACCCGAAGCCGGUGGCCUAACCGUUGUGGGGGAGCCGUCGAAGGUGGGACUGGUGAUUAGG